rnacentral:lncRNA from 1 species
AUAAUUUCUUGACUACAUGUCUCAGUUUUUUUGUGAAACACACUUUAGUGAUACACACCACUGAGGCAGAAAACCGUGUCUGUGAUCAGUGACAGAACAAACACCUACAGUAUCCUGACAGGUUUGUGAGCUGCUGCUGAUGCUGAGCACUAUUCUUGAAGUAACCCUGCUUUGAUCAUGAAUAGGGAAAUAGAAGGAAACUCGGUCCAACACAAGCCAAACCCAGACAAUUAUCUCAAGCAGGAAGAUGCAUGUUCAGUAGUUUAGCCUUUUGAUCUAUAAUGCCUGUGUCACAAGAAUAACCCUUCAUUUGCUCUACAGGUAGAAUAAUUGUGGUUUCUGAGAGCACAGUACACAGAGCAAGGACAUGUGAUUCUUCAGUGGUGCACCUGUUUCGGUUGUGGAGAAGGGAACCUUUGUCUCCUGUUUAUAAUUCUUCCAACGCCUACACAAACACAAAUGCCUCCACCAAUGUAUCCUGUAUCCUCGCUCGCACAGACAAAACAAGUCAGACAAAUGUCAGCCGUGUGUAUACUACCUGCGCUGGAGAAAAGGGCAGGAUGAAUCUUUCAACAGCUUUCCCCUUUGGCAGUGAACACUCACAACUACCUUGUAACAACAUGUACUUGUUGUAAAAAAGCACAUUCAGAGAUAUUUGCUCAGUCAGACACUGUUAUCAUGUUUGGGCCUAAAGGGAAACACUCCUGUUAGGACAGAAGUUACUCAACGUCUUUUUUUUAAAUGUCACAGAAAGGAGAAUACUGGUUCUUGACAGGGUCUGAAAUCACCACUUUUAGGGUCUCCAUUAUCAUGACCUCAUGUCAGGUAAUUGUCUGGUAUUCAGAGCGACUAUUUUAAUUCCUUUUUGUCAGUAUCCAUGGGAAUAUGAAUAAACAGAGGAAAACAACAGUUCCUGGCAGUGUUAUGCCUCCACUUUGCCACCUCCCUUAUAAAUUCUAUUCUCUGUGCAGCUGCCUGUUUCUGCUGCUGCCCUGCUCUGCCUCUACUCUGCUCGGGUUUAGGUUUUAUUCAGCGUUGCGGUAGAGGUCGACCACAGUCCCCGUGACAUUUUGGCAAAGCACAACAGUAUAGGGUCCAGGGUGGUGAGUGUUUACGGGAACACUCGUGAGGUGGCACCGUGCCAUCCUGCCAAAUGUUAGUCAAAAAAACACUCAUGUUUCCCAACCAGUGGGAGAGACAAGUGUGAACGUUGAGACAGAUGUGUUAUAGAUUAAUAUGCGAUUUUGUUUUUGUGAACAAUCUCUGUUAAUCAUCCCCAUUAAUUUUGGGCGGAUUCAGCUCUAAACGCUAAUGCUGUGAUUAGUUUGAACACUUCAGUUAUCAGGUUUCAGCUUUUGGGAAAACGAAAAAAAAAGUGUCCGACGUCUUAGUCACAUCUUGAUUAGUCACAUCUCUGUUUAGUCUGUUUAGAUUUAGAGUUGUUCUGUUUACUCAAGUACAGAAAUUCCUUCCAGAGUUCUGCUUUUUUUCUUCUUCUAAAGAAGCCAAAAACUGCACCAGGCU